GCCAGGCAUUGUGGCGCAUGCCUGUGGUCCCAGCUACUUGGGAGGCUGAGGCAGGAGGAUCAUGUGAGCCCAGGAGGUCGAGGCUGCAGUGAGCCAUGAUCACACUACUGCACUCCAGCCUGGGUGACAAAGUGAGACCCUGUCUCAA
rnacentral:SRP_RNA from 1 species